rnacentral:rRNA from 1 species
UACGUAGGGUCCGAGCGUUGUCCGGAAUUAUUGGGCGUAAAGGGCUCGUAGGCGGCCAACUAAGUCGGAUGUGAAAUCCCCAGGCUCAACCUGGGAACUGCAUCCGAUACUGGAUGGCUUGAAUUCGGGAGAGGGAUGCAGAAUUCCAGGUGUAGCGGUGAAAUGCGUAGAUAUCUGGAGGAAUACCGGUGGCGAAGGCGGCAUCCUGGACCGACAUUGACGCUGAGGAGCGAAAGCCAGGGGAGCAAACGGG